AUGACCAGAUUCACUCACUGAUCAUUAACCUGUGAUGUUAAAAUAAAUAUGAAACCCGUGGCACGGCUACGUAAUCGAAUUCAGGCGGUAAAUAAUUUAUUACAGACUAAUAAAUCUGUACAUUUUAUUUAAUUUUUUAUUUUUUUUUUAUGUUAGGUUGUCGUUCAGGGCUUUAUUCUCGGGACAGGAAGCGGUUACUGUUUGAUUCUUUAUCGGACCUCUGCUCUAUCUUGUCUUCUUCUUUGGGGCUCCCAUUGGGGCAUCGUUCUGAACUCGGUACGAUUUGUUAGAGCUACAUUUAAAUAAAGGAACAUUUACAAGUGUCACGAAAUGAAAGCUGAAACAAUUUGACUUGGAGUUUUUUUUUUUUUUUUAUUAUUUACAUGCUGACUGAAAAACAAAGCGGAGCCCAGAAGAAAUGGUCGGAUUAAUUUGGUCAACUUAACGACAAGGGAUGUGAAUGAUAGAAUGAUGCCAGUUUCCUGUUCGCCAGUGAUGGUCAGAUGAAGGUUAAUAGGCAGAAUGGGGUUUAAUUUGAUGUAACUCAUCCAACCUUUAGUGUUAAAGAACGAGCCAAAGCUAAAAUCAAAGUUCUCCUCUUAUCGGUCCCUCUAGCUUCUCUAGAGGUCUGGAUCAUGACUGAAGCUUUUGGUCAGAAGUGUCAGAUACACGGUUUGGUUGAACAGAUGCAUGAAGGCCUUGCGUCACCUGGUCCAAUUCAAAGAGUCGAAGACAACAACACGGUGUGGAGAACCUUAACUGAACCACACGGAGUGCUAACCUCAAAACGACAGAACAGAUUUUGAGAUGUCCAGCAACAGCGUCCGACCUCAGAGAUGCUCUUCUUGAAAAAUGAGCAAAAAUUCCUACAAAUACACUUCUAACAUCGUGGGAAACCUUCCAUUUUGAAUCUGCUCCCGAGGUAAAGAUUGUGCCGACAUUAUAUUAACUGCUGUGGAUUAAGAACAGGAAGUCACUGCCACAUCUUUUCACCGCAGAAUGGUAAGAAAGACAAAAAAUAACCUCUCUAAAGCAAAGAGUAGCAGGUUGGGGGCACACAGUCUCCAUAACAACCAUUUAUUUCAAGGCCUCUGCGCAUGUUUCUGCUAGUUGUGCCGAUAUAGGUGGUAUAAUGUGGUCACUGUUGGCUAAUUUCACUUUUUGUUGAGCUCAAACGCCAACAAAACUGUUGCUCUGAACAUUUUGUAAUGACAGAAGAGAGAGCAGACGCCUGACAAGACUUUGUGUUUGCAUUUUGAAACGACGGAAUGGAACAUUGAUCUGUUCUGUCAGAGUAACUAAAAGAAAACUCACACCAGCACACCCGCCCUGCAUGCCAGCUGUUUAACCUGGCAUCGGGCCAGGUUUGCUUCGCUUUGAGCUGGGAACCAGAAUGACUGAAGCUCCGACUGCUAAACAACGUGGGAUACCUUCUUCUCAGAGCUGCUUUUCACACAUCGAGGGAAAUCCGCAGCAAAGCGCAUUACACGCUCACUGCCGUGUUUGCAGGGGAGCAAUAAAACACGGCCCGAGGUUAAACUUUGACCCUCUCGACGCGGCGGACAGCCUGCGUUUAAUAAAUGACCUCGAUGACACACCGAACGCGUCCCGGCGAAGCUGCGCGGCGACGUACCCAGGGAGCGGGACGACGUGGUGUAGAAAGCUUUCUGUCCGAUCUCUGAAAGCGCCAUGAAAAUGGCGCGCGGCAGUCAGCAGGAAAGAAAAAACAAAACCCUGGGGGACACCAGAAACCAACCCGUCAGUCAUCCAGGUGGACCGAGUCAGUCAGGCCUGCGGAGGAAAGGCGGGUCGAGCCGGAUCGAACCUGACGAGGAGCAGAGGCGAGAAGGCAGCCCGGUGUGAUGGAAACCAACACCAGCCCUGUCUGAGAAAGACAGGAGUAAAUAAUUAAACGUGGCUAAAUCAUAAAA